ensembl:lncRNA
GGAGGAGGAAAUAUUUGCAUUGACCUCAUCAAAAUCCGGGGUAUAAAUAGGCUGGGGAGUGUGAGGCUUCCUCAGCUCCCAGGUGCAGGUGUGGGAAGCAGAGACACCAAGGUGGAUCAUGGCAACUUCCCUCCUCUUGGCACAGCUCCUGCUCCUGGGGACACUGGCUGUCCCAGCACAAGCACAGACAGAAUCCAAGUGUGCCCAGCUCGGGAAUGCGACUGAAGGCAACUUCUCUGUGACAGUGACCCCUGGGGUGUACCAGGCAAACACCACCUACCUAGGUAAGGCACCUCUUCUGCAGCUCAGAGAGCUCCCACUGCACAGGAAUGUGUCCCCUCUGUCCCCACCCCGCUGCUUUCCUGAGUCUCGUGGUGUUCUUAGAUGUGUUCAAACUGUGUGAGCUCUGACACUCUUCUAUUUUAUUUCCUUUUGUUUCAGGCAGGAAAUAGAUAAACAGCACUAGUUGUUACCUCUGUGUUCCUAUUUCGUGUUCAUGCCUACAGGGUCAAUCCCAAAUUCUCUUUCCUUCCUCGGGAUGCUUUUUUCUCCCUUUUUGCCCCAGCUUGCCCAGAAGGACCUGAACACUCUUGGAAACACAGAAUUUGGGGGGGAAAGUUGUUCUGUGGUUUUGUUCCCUUUCCUUCUCCCUGACAAUUUGCCCUCCUCAGUGGCAAUGGCUGUAAAGACAAAGGGGAAGGGGUUACUUUGAUGCUAACAAACAUUCAGCAUCAAUCACAGCAAAUGGCUUUUCACGCUACGAAGUGGAGUUAAAUGGCAGCCUGACCCUGUUAGUUCCCUGCCAGCAGAUCUCCCUUUGCCCUGAGGUCCAGCAAAACCUAAAUGUUGAGAAAACAGUGGAGGAGAGACACCCUGAUCCCUUCCUGCUGCUGUGAAUUGGCACAGAUUCCCUCAGACCUCCCCCAGGAGCCCCCACUGCAGUUUUGGUUUUUCCGUGGAGAAGUGUUUUGUUCCCUGCUGUUGUUCCCCCAGGACAGCAGGGGCUGAACCUGGGACCGAGCAGUUCCUCUCACUCUAUUCCUGCGUGGGGAGGGGGCAGAUAAGGGGGUUCUUCCUCCCGUGCCUGGGGGGGGCUGUGGUGAGUCCCCCUCUCUUUGCAGGGGUCACCUCGUGUCCCAGAGAGGGACACAGAGAUCAGUGGGAGAGCAAACACUGCCUGGGCUGGAAACCCCGAGGCCAUGGGGGCUUCCAGAACACACAGCUCACUUUGUCCCCCUUGCUCUGCUCCCCAGUGACAAUCGAGGCCCAAAACAGCACCGACAACAAGCCCACGCAGUUCGUGCUGCAAGCCCUGUCCCCAGGGAACGAGUCCCUGGGGCAGUGGGAGGGGAUAACCCCGGAGAGCUGCAGCUCUGUGGACUCAGCAAUACUGAACAGCACCCAGAAUGCAGCCAACUGGACAUCUCCAGGCACAAACGUGUCCUCUGUGCAGAUAAGGGCAUACAUCAUCUUCACUAAUAGUUCCACCCAGUUCAAGACUGUGACUCUCACCACAGGUAACUAAUCUUCAGCUGGGCAGUUCCAACAGCUGGGGGAAGGACACACCAAGCAAGGGCUUCACUUGUGCUCUGGGGCUUGGGGAGAGGGGAAGGAGGGACUCAGGGCACCUCCAGCUGGAG